UGAAAACUUAAGUAAUGAUACUUGAUGUUAAGUAAUGAUACAUGAUUUGAAUUAAGAAUUGUAGCCAAUAAUAGAAGAGCUGCCACAAGGCAGCACCUGGUUAAC